CCCUGGUUGGCACGCCUAACAGUGAGAGUUUUGUCACCCAUUUUAAUUCCAUUCAAAGCAGCACAAGCUAUGUCUGUAACUGCAAUAUCUUGGUACACACAGAAUGCAUAGCCCUUCGAAUUCCCAGUUUCUCUAUCUUUUACUAGAUCAAAACCUUGAAGGGGACCAAAGGACUCCAACAACUCUCUGACUUGAGCUUCAGUAAAAUAAUAGGGAAGUCCACCCACAAAGAUGCGGUCCGGACCCUCAAGCCCACCAGCAGAGUUUGGACUUAAGCCAACUGCAGCCAGGUUAAGAUUGGGAUUAGGCUGGCUUGGACCAAGUGUUGCAGCAAGGGAUGGGUUAUAAUCACUAGGUCUUCUCACCUUGACAGGAGCUCCCUCAAAAAUGAUCCCAUCUAAAGCCAUUGCAUUACUAGCCUCCUCAACAGAUCUCAUCUCCACAAAUGCAAACUUCUUUUCAUGGUUUAUAUAGACAUUUACAACGGCAUCCCCUUUAGAAAACAAACAUGAAAAAGAUUUGGCGACAAGGAAACAAAGCAGGUGGGUCUAGUUAUCAAGGAAAGAGGACAAAUGCUGGAUACCUGGGCCAGCAGAGUUUCCUCCAAUUGCAGCCAUAACCUGGCUAAAAAAGGUUGCUACAGACUGCAGAAAAAAAAUAGUGUCAGUAUGCCAACUAGAUAUAUCCAUUGUCCAACAGAAAAAUGAGGGCAAAACCUGUUCAUUCGCUGUAGGGAGGAGGCCUCCAACAUAGACCCGCCGAGCAUGCCUAGUAGCCUGCUGUGUCAUUGCCUGAAUUGGCAUAAUAGGGAGAGAGCCAAACUGCUGCAGGUGAACAAAUGACACAAAAUUAAUAAAUCAAAGGAUCCAGAUACUAGUUUAUGUGCAUCAAGAUGAGUCAUACUUGACUGGCUCCCAUAGGAAACAUAUUGGGAAAUAUUCCAGGAAUGGCAGGAUGUGUCCCAGGAUUCUGACCUGCAGUAGCAGCAGCAGCAGCAGCUGGGCUGAUCAACAUUGCAGAUGGGGAAGGAGCCAUAUCAAAGCCACUAACCCUUUUACUCCUAGAACGUGAGCGGGAGUGUGAUUUUGAUCUGUUCUCAGAUCUACCCCUUGAAGGAGAUUGUGAUCGAUUCCUGUGUCUGUCUUCCCUGUCUCUAUCAUAAUCUAUGUGUCUGUCACUGACAUAGUUUCGGCUUCGAUAACGAUCAUUGUUAACCCUAUCUCUGCCCUGUUCCCUCUUCUCACCACGAUCUCUGUGGCGAUCACGACGCCCAUAGUGACUUUCACUAUCCUUGUCUCUUUCUCUUUCCCUUUCCCUGUCCCUGCUUCUCUUCUUAUCCUUGUCCCUCUCAUGAUUCCUAUCCUCAUCCCUUUCAAGAUUUCGAUCCCUCUCCCUAUCAAGCCUCCUUUCUCUUUCUUUUUCCCUACUUUUUGAAGACUCUCUUUCAUAGUCUCGAGAACCAUGCUGAGAUUUGGAAUCGCUGUGAUCGUCUGCGCCGCCAUGGCUGUGACUGCUAGCGCGAGGCUGAGGAGAGAAGCCACCACCGCCAGAACCGUAGUUAUCGUUGUCGAAGUCGGCACCAUUGCCAUCAUACCUUCCUCCUUCGUAAUCGGUCAUCUUGAAAAUUGAAUGAUUGAUUAAUUCUUAGGCAAAAGUUUUGGAGCUGUUUCUUACUUUCGGGUUGGGUUCUCUGUUUAGCUGCGAAGCUUGAGACUGCGAAUGGAGAAUCAAGAACCCGAUGAUUUUGAGAAUUCUAGGGCACAGAAGCUCGAAUUGGAUUGCCUUUUAUUGGCGAG
rnacentral:misc_RNA from 1 species